rnacentral:rRNA from 1 species
ACACUCCUACGGGAGGCAGCAGUGGGGAAUUUUGGACAAUGGGCGAAAGCCUGAUCCAGCAAUGCCGCGUGAGUGAAGAAGGCCUUCGGGUUGUAAAGCUCUUUUGUCAGGGAAGAAACGGUGAGAGCUAAUAUCUUUUGCUAAUGACGGUACCUGAAGAAUAAGCACCGGCUAACUACGUGCCAGCAGCCGCGGUAAUACGUAGGGUGCAAGCGUUAAUCGGAAUUACUGGGCGUAAAGCGUGCGCAGGCGGUUUUGUAAGUCUGAUGUGAAAUCCCCGGGCUCAACCUGGGAAUUGCAUUGGAGACUGCAAGGUUAGAAUCUGGCAGAGGGGGGUAGAAUUCCACGUGUAGCAGAGAAAUGCGUAGAUAUGUGGAGGAACACCGAUGGCGAAGGCAGCCCCCUGGGUCAAGAUUGACGCUCAUGCACGAAAGCGUGGGGAGCAAACAGGAUUAGAUACCCCAGUAGUCCC